rnacentral:rRNA from 1 species
GAUGAACGCUAGCUACAGGCUUAACACAUGCAAGUCGAGGGGCAUCAGGAAGAAAGCUUGCUUUCUUUGCUGGCGACCGGCGCACGGGUGAGUAACACGUAUCCAACCUGCCCUUUACUCGGGGAUAGCCUUUCGAAAGAAAGAUUAAUACCCGAUGGCAUAAUGAUUCCGCAUGGUUUCAUUAUUAAAGGAUUCCGGUAAAGGAUGGGGAUGCGUUCCAUUAGGUUGUUGGUGAGGUAACGGCUCACCAAGCCUUCGAUGGAUAGGGGUUCUGAGAGGAAGGUCCCCCACAUUGGAACUGAGACACGGUCCAAACUCCUACGGGAGGCAGCAGUGAGGAAUAUUGGUCAAUGGGCGUUAGCCUGAACCAGCCAAGUAGCGUGAAGGAUGAAGGCUCUAUGGGUCGUAAACUUCUUUUAUAUAAGAAUAAAGUGCAGUAUGUAUACUGUUUUGUAUGUAUUAUAUGAAUAAGGAUCGGCUAACUCCGUGCCAGCAGCCGCGGUAAUACGGAGGAUCCGAGCGUUAUCCGGAUUUAUUGGGUUUAAAGGGAGCGUAGGUGGACUGGUAAGUCAGUUGUGAAAGUUUGCGGCUCAACCGUAAAAUUGCAGUUGAUACUGUCUGUCUUGAGUACAGUAGAGGUGGGCGGAAUUCGUGGUGUAGCGGUGAAAUGCUUAGAUAUCACGAAGAACUCCGAUUGCGAAGGCAGCUCACUGGACUGCAACUGACACUGAUGCUCGAAAGUGUGGGUAUCAAACAGG